rnacentral:rRNA from 1 species
UACGUAGGGGGCAAGCGUUGUCCGGAAUUAUUGGGCGUAAAGAGCGCGUAGGCGGUCCGGUAAGUCGGUUGUGAAAGUCGGGGGCUCAACCCUCGGAUGCCGAUCGAUACUGCCGGGCUAGAGUCCGGAAGAGGCGAGUGGAAUUCCUGGUGUAGCGGUGAAAUGCGCAGAUAUCAGGAGGAACACCAAUGGCGAAGGCAGCUCGCUGGGACGGUACUGACGCUGAGGCGCGAAAGCCAGGGGAGCGAACGGG